CCGCUGUGAUGACUUCUUAGGACACCUUUGGAUUAACCAUGAAAACAAACAAUGAAAGAACUGAGCUGC
rnacentral:snoRNA from 1 species